rnacentral:rRNA from 1 species
UACGGGGGGGGCAAGCGUUUGUUCGGAAUUACUGGGCGUAAAGGGCUCGUAGGCGGCCAACUAAGUCGGGACGUGAAAUCCCUCGGCUUAACCGGGGAACUGCGUCCGAUACUGGAUGGCUGGAGUAUGGGAGAGGGAUGCGGAAUUCCAGGUGUAGCGGUGAAAUGCGCAGAUAUCGGGAAGAAUAUCCGUGGCGAAGGCGGCUCUCUGGUACGGCACUGACGCUGAGACGCGAAAGCGUGGGGAGCGAACAGG